UGCAGUCGAGCGAACAGACGAGGAGCUUGCUCCUCUGACGUUAGCGGCGGACGGGUGAGUAACACGUGGGUAACCUACCUAUAAGACUGGGAUAACUCCGGGAAACCGGGGCUAAUACCGGAUAAUACAUGAAACCGCAUGGUUUCAUGAUGAAAGACGGUUUUGCUGUCACUUAUAGAUGGACCCGCGGCGUAUUAGCUAGUUGGUAAGGUAACGGCUUACCAAGGCAACGAUACGUAGCCGACCUGAGAGGGUGAUCGGCCACACUGGAACUGAGACACGGUCCAGACUCCUACGGGAGGCAGCAGUAGGGAAUCUUCCGCAAUGGGCGAAAGCCUGACGGAGCAACGCCGCGUGAGUGAUGAAGGUCUUCGGAUCGUAAAACUCUGUUAUUAGGGAAGAACAAGGGUGUAAGUAACUGUGCACCCCUUGACGGUACCUA
rnacentral:rRNA from 1 species